rnacentral:sRNA from 1 species
CCCUGCCCUUUGUACACACCGCCCGUCGCUACUACCGAUUGAAUGGCUCAGUGAGGCGUUCGGACUGGCUCGGGGAGGUUGGCAACGACCACCCCAAGCCGGAAAGUUCGUCAAACUCGGUCAUUUAGAGGAAGUAAAAGUCGUAACAAGGUCUCCGUAGGUGAACCUGCGGAGGGAUCAUUACACAAUUAAAAUAUGAAGGCCCUUCAAACCGGCUGGAUUAUUUUUAUUCACCCUUGUCUUUUGCGCACUUGUUGUUUCCUGGGCGGGUUCGCUCGCCACCAGGACCACAUCAUAAACCUUUUUUGUUAAUGCAAUCAGCGUCAGUAUAACAAAUGUAAAUCAUUUACAACUUUCAACAACGGAUCUCUUGGUUCUGGCAUCGAUGAAGAACGCAGCGAAAUGCGAUACGUAGUGUGAAUUGCAGAAUUCAGUGAAUCAUCGAAUCUUUGAACGCACAUUGCGCCCUUUGGUAUUCCAAAGGGCAUGCCUGUUCGAGCGUCAUUUGUACCCUCAAGCUUUGCUUGGUGUUGGGCGUUGUUUGUCUUUGGUCCGCCCAAAGACUCGCCUUAAAACAAUUGGCAGCCGGCCUACUGGUUUCGCAGCGCAGCACAUUUUUGCGCUUGCAAUCAGCAAAAGAGGUUGGUCAUCCAUCAAGACUACAUUUAUACGUUUGACCUCGGAUCAGGUAGGGAUACCCGCUGAACUUAAGCAUAUCAUA